rnacentral:rRNA from 1 species
AUUGAACGCUGGCGGCAGGCCUAACACAUGCAAGUCGAACGGUAACAGGAAGAAGCUUGCUUCUUUGCUGACGAGUGGCGGACGGGUGAGUAAUGUCUGGGAAACUGCCUGAUGGAGGGGGAUAACUACUGGAAACGGUAGCUAAUACCGCAUAACGUCGCAAGACCAAAGAGGGGGACCUUCGGGCCUCUUGCCAUCGGAUGUGCCCAGAUGGGAUUAGCUAGUAGGUGGGGUAACGGCUCACCUAGGCGACGAUCCCUAGCUGGUCUGAGAGGAUGACCGGCCACACUGGAACUGAGACACGGUCCAGACUCCUACGGGAGGCAGCAGUGGGGAAUAUUGCACAAUGGGCGCAAGCCUGAUGCAGCAAUGCCGCGUGUAUGAAGAAGGCCUUCGGGUUGUAAAGUACUUUCAGCGGGGAGGAAGGAAGUAAAGAUAAUACCUUUGCUCAUUGACGUUACCCGCAGAAGAAGCACCGGCUAACUCCGUG